GACGAACGCUGGCGGCGCGGCCUAACACAUGCAAGUCGAACGGAGAUAAGGAGGAGGCUUGCUCCACCUUAUCUGAGUGGCGGACGGGUGAGUAACGCGUGAGUAACCUGCCUUAAAGAGGGGGAUAACGUCUGGAAACGGACGCUAAUACCGCAUAACAUAUUGUUUUCGCAUGGAGAUGAUAUCAAAGGAGCAAUCCGCUUUAAGAUGGACUCGCGUCUGAUUAGCUAGUUGGCGGGGUAACGGCCCACCAAGGCGACGAUCAGUAGCCGGACUGAGAGGUUGGUCGGCCACAUUGGGACUGAGACACGGCCCAG
rnacentral:rRNA from 1 species